GCCGUCACCCAAGGGAAGCUAGCCUUCUGUGAGGAAGGAAGGUACGGGAACUAGGAAGGGGAGUAUGUACCCAGGACAAAGUUUCUCGAUGGAAACUCUCUCCAAAAAUAACAUUCAAGUUAGAAAUGAGUGGAUUAAACUAGGCAGCAGAAACUGUUCAAAAGAGGAAAAUCAACUGGAAUCUCCGGUCAGCAAUAAGGACAACAAGCAUGGUGUCCUGAGCCCAGACUGCCACUGCUCCUCAACGCUGUCAGGAAGACAACAGGAUACAGAAAGAAGACCUUGUGCUGAGCCAGGCGGUCAGGCCUUGCCCUGGGGCCACCGAUCUUCCUGGUGUUACGGGGCCUCACAGACAGUAGCCUGGUAGUAAUUUUGAAGAUGCAGUGAACUUGAGCAACGGACUGAAUCCACUCACAGCAUAUAGAAAUGUGUUCUGUUUGUCCAGAAAGAUGCAGGUUCUUCUUAUUAGCACUUGGCAGUAAAAAUUCCUCCAAGUGGGAAUUUUAGACAUGACUGGCUGCUGAGGAUAGAGAACCUGUUACAGAUCUAAGUCUGGGAUCCAGGUAGAACCAGGGCCCAGAGCUCCUUACGGUCUGCUUGUUGGUUGAACUCGCUGGACCCCAUUGUCAUCAAUCUUUCCCUGAAGCAUCUGGAGUCUGAGGAAAUCAUGUCCUGACCCCAAGGCUUCACAAGCAGGAACCUCAC